UGGACUAAUUUUUGUAUGAAGUAGGAACGUUUAUUUACGUUUGCCGCUAGGGGCGCUGUCCCAACUGCAUACCAAUUUGAGUUA
rnacentral:pre_miRNA from 1 species